CAAAAACAUACUAAGUAUUAUUAAUCGGCUAGCAAGGAAAGAUAAACAUACGACCUGAACUGAAUUAACCAGUGCGCACGACUAUAUAAAAAAACAAACUUCCUUUGACAAUAAGUUUCUAAUUAAAUCAUGGCUGCGUCUGGGCAGCGUUAUUGUGAGAGUGAAAGUGGACGUGCUGCUACUCCCCUCAUUCCCAACAUGUAUCAAGUACCUGCAUUGAGUAAUGCAAGAGUGAGAUGACACAUCUCAGCAAGUAAAAUAAUAUCAAAUUGUUUAACCACAUAAGAACAUUGUUUUACCACCACUUGAUUCCACAACCUUCUUAUUACGAAGGUGCAGCACGUUUACAACGUACAACACACCUAGUUACCACACCUCGCAGGUAGAAACCACAAUAGUAACAUAGUAAUGUCACACUUCAUAUAUUCCUCAUGAGUGCAAAUGUCUGCAAAUGCAAGGAUGACUUCUGCCUUCAUACCUCUAAGGAUAUGAAGCCGCAUCGUACCCCUCCUCGGGCAACGUACGAUGCUAAAAAUGUACCGGUACGGUCGGACCAUAAGAUCACGACAUAACUUCAAAAUGCAAGAUGGAUGAUGCGAUGUGCAUGUCAUGCCUACAACACUUCAUAUAACGUGAUUCAAAAAGAUACUUCAACUUCAUCCAAGAUGGGAAUCAACCACAUAUAUCAUUAUCCAAUUAUGAUCAUCCACAAUAUUAGACAAUUGAGAAUUAAUACUUCCAAACAAAUAAACUUCAUCAUAGAAUUCAAUGAUUAACAUAUUUAAAACUUAUGCAUACUCAAUGACAGGGAAUAGGAUGCAAACCAAACGGUAGCAACCACCACUGUAUUUACUUGCCUUUACCGGAAGUUUGGGCAAAUCCCUAAGGUAUGAUCCGGAAGUCCACCACCUGUUUUUGACACACAACUUAGUGCACCAAUUUCACAUAAUCAGGCUCAUAAACGACGCCGCACCUACGCACAAACUCAAACCCCGCCGCGGGUUACAUCUCUCCCCAC
rnacentral:lncRNA from 7 species